rnacentral:rRNA from 1 species
GACGUAGGGCGCGAGCGUUGUCCGGAUUUAUUGGGCGUAAAGAGCUCGUAGGCGGCUUGUCGCGUCGACUGUGAAAACCCGUGGCUCAACCAUGUGGUCUGCAGUCGAUACGGGCAGGCUAGAAUUCGGUAGGGGAGACUGGAAUUCCUGGUGUAGCGGUGAAAUGCGUAGAUAUCUGGAGGAACACCGGUGGCGAAGGCGGCAUCCUGGACCGACACUGACGCUGAGGAGCGAAAGCCAGGGGAGCAAACGGG